ACAGAGUAAAAAUCCUGCAAUUUUGCAUAUUUUCACACAGAAUGCUGCCCUCGCAUCGCACGGAGUCCGCUUCGCGUCUAUUUGACGCCAACGCGACUCGGGCUUGUCUCGACACUCUCCAGAGCUGUCGACAAGUCCCCACUGACGGAAACCGGGGUCUCACAAAUCUUUUUGAUUUAGCUACCAAAUCUUUCAAAAUUUUGAUUUUACUAUCUAUUCUUUCAAUCUAUUUGAUUUGAGUCGGUACAUAACACUUUGACUUUAAAAUGUGAACGCAUUGAUUAUCUUUACAUAUUUAGUUAAUAUACUCCAUGCGAUUCUUACAACUAUAAAUUUGCUAAAAUAAGUAAUUAGCUUGAAUUUUAAAAUCAAAAUGUCAUUGACCAAUUCAAAUCAAAUAAAUUGAAAUAUUGGAUAGUAAAAUUAAAAUUUUAAAAAGCUUGGAUAAUCGGCCCAAAAUAAUUUAUAACUCAGAUACGUUCUAUACAUUUUUACCAAUAUAUAAUUAAUU
rnacentral:lncRNA from 1 species